rnacentral:piRNA from 1 species
UUCCCAUUAAUUCUUGGCCUCCAGGCAC